GCACAGCGAGUGAUGGUCGCUCACUGCUCGAAAUGGUCUACCGUAUAGGUAUGGUCGGAAUUUUCCUAUGGCCCAAAUAACCGCGAGACAUUCUUUUUCUGUCGCCGAAUAGUUAGUUUCCGCCUUCGAAAGAGUGCGGCUAGCGUAAGCAAUCACUCGCUCCUCUCCGUUUUGCCAUUGAACGAGGACGGCACCGAGUCCCAAGUUACUUGCGUCCGUGUGUAUGUCUGUCUCCGCUUCGUCAUCAAAGUGUUCAAGAACCGGGUCGUUUUGAAGCCGCUGUCGUAGUUCAUGGAAUGCAGUAUCUUGCUCACUCGUCCUACGAAAGGCACAUCUUCUUUUGUCAGACGUGUUAGCGGUUCGGCAAUCUUGGAAAAAUUUUUUACGAAGCGUCUGUAAUAGGCACAAAGCCCUAAAAACCGCCUGACAGCCUUUUUAUCCGUGGGUCUUGGGAACUUGCCUACUGCUGCAGUCUUCUCAGGGUCAGGGCGGAUGCCUUCAGAACUAACCACAUGGCCCAGGAAAAGGAGUUCGCGGAAACCAAAAUGGCACUUUUGUGGCUUUAUCGUUAGCCCUGCUGA
rnacentral:lncRNA from 1 species